CGGAGUGUAGCGCAGCCUGGUAGCGCACUUGACUGGGGGUCAAGGGGUGUGUGGGUUCGAAUCCCGCCACUCCGA
rnacentral:tRNA from 1 species